GCGAAUUUAGUUCAGUGGUAGAACGCUAGCCUUCCAAGCUGGAUGUCGCGGGUUCGAGUCCCGCAAUUCGCU
rnacentral:tRNA from 1 species